AGUGAACGCUGGCGGUAGGCCUAACACAUGCAAGUCGAACGGCAGCACAGUAAGAGCUUGCUCUUACGGGUGGCGAGUGGCGGACGGGUGAGGAAUACAUCGGGAUCUACUUUUCGUGGGGGAUAACGUAGGGAAACCCACGCUAAUACCGCAUACGACCUACGGGUGAAAGCAGGGGAUCUUCGGACCUUGCGCGAUUGAAUGAGCCGAUGUCGGAUUAGCUAGUUGGCGGGGUAAAGGCCCACCAAGGCGACGAUCCGUAGCUGGUCUGAGAGGAUGAUCAGCCACACUGGAACUGAGACACGGUCCAGACUCCUACGGGAGGCAGCAGUGGGGAAUAUUGGACAAUGGGCGCAAGCCUGAUCCAGCCAUACCGCGUGGGUGAAGAAGGCCUUCGGGUUGUAAAGCCCUUUUGUUGGGAAAGAAAAGCAGCAGGUUAAUACCCCGCUGUUCUGACGGUACCCAAAGAAUAAGCACCGGCUAACUUCGUG
rnacentral:rRNA from 1 species